rnacentral:rRNA from 1 species
UACAGGGGGUGCAAACGUUGCUCGGAAUUAUUGGGCGUAAAGCGCGCGUAGGCGGCUACCUAAGUCGGAUGUGAAAGCCCCUGGCUUAACUGGGGAAGUGCACCCGAAACUGGGUAGCUAGAGUGCAAAAGAGGGUCGCGGAAUUCCCGGUGUAGAGGUGAAAUUCGUAGAUAUUGGGAAGAACACCGAUGGCGAAGGCAGCCAUCUGGACCGACACUGACGCUGAGGCGCGAAAGCGUGGGGAGCAAACAGG